AGCGUGCUCAGGAAGUCAUUUGUUUGGCAUUAUAUAAAAUAGUAUAGUUAAAAUAUUUGUGUAAGAGAAUUAAACUGCAUAAAUUAACUAAUUUAAUAAGUUAAAGUAAUACAGCGUUGGUCUACUAAGGUAUUGGAAGGAAGAAACCUUUAAUUGUCGAUUUUCUGUUUUUUGAUAAAUCCAAUUGUGUGUUAUUCUCCAGUACCAUCAUACCAGUACCAGUACCAUAUUAUAAAUCGACAAUUGUCAGAGUUGAUUCAAUAUUAGUGGAUCAUGGAGAAAUUACAAUUUGAGGUUGAGUUGGCUGCAGAUGAAGAUCCAAAGAAUAGCAUAAUGAUUAUAAAGUCGAUUACCAAAGAGGACGGAAUAACGUACCUCAUACCACCAGGUUUUCAAGCAGUAAAACACCACCCUCAAUUGAUAAGGUUACCAGAAAUUUUGAAGAUAAAAAAGACAUUACAGAGAAACGUUUUUUUUUUUUUUUUUUUUUUUUUUUUACGAGGAGGAAGCAUCGAAAGCCUGAACCCCAUGUCAGUGUGGAACUUUAAUCCGAACUAAACCUCCUACCGUCAUGUACCGUUCCCCCCGGUACCACCGUCAAGUAUUACGUCGGGAGGAUGGUUGAGUGACACUCAAGCGUACGUGAUGGUCAAAAUGCAUUCAGUUACAAGUUGCAUUUACUUGGCCCCACCUCUGUUGGUCUGAUAACCCCCUCGUACAUUGUUCGUCGCCAACCCUUCCCGUCACGUCAACGUUUGUGUGUUUGAGUCGUGGUUGUCCGUUACAUUUCUUCUCCGCCGCUGUUCGCUGGCACGUUGGGAUUCCAUUACCCUGGCUGCAACUUCGCAAGCAGCUUUCCACUUCUCUGUCGAUUCGACCACUUGGCUUACCAGAUUUUCGGGAGCUGGGUCUACACCGAACACAUCUUUUAGGUAUUGCCCCUCAAGAUUAUAUUUUGGGCACUGGAAGAAGGUGUGUUCCACAUUUUCGACGGUAUCGCCUCCGCAAUAAUCACAUGUGUCGUUAUUUUCGUGCCCGAACCGUUUCAAAUAUGCUUUAAAGCAGCCAUGCCCUGUGAGAAGUUGAGUUACGUGAAAAUCUACCUCACCGUGUGGUCUAUUUAGCCAUAGUUCGACAUUGGGGAUCAGCCGGAAUGUCCACCGACCGUUUCCGCUUUCUUCCCAGCGCUUUUGCCAUUGAUCUACUGUCUCAGCCCUUGCUGUUUCUUUUGAUGUAUUGUACGGUAACCUGUCAUUUGUACAGCAUUGUAUCUCCUUGGCCAGGAGGUCUAAAGGGUGUAAGCCUGCAAUAACUAGAGCAGCAUCUUCCGAUACUGUGCGGAACGCAGAACAUACUCUUAAUGCGCAGGUGGCAUAUAUCGAAAAAAGGCAACGGCGAUGUGAUUUUACUUCUAGAGCUUUUCCCCAUAUCUGGACGCCGAACAGCGCGACUGACUUUAGUACACCAGCUAAUAGUCGCCUUCUAUUUUGCUUUGGCCCACGGGUAUUGAGCAUUAACCGGGUCAAGGCUCUGCACACUUUUGUAGCUUUUUCGCCUGUGUACGCUAAGUGAUCUUUAAAGGACAUCCUUGCAUCGAGUAUGAUUCCCAAAUAUUUAAUUGCCGGUUGUGUCGUGAUGCUUACACCCUUUGCAUUGAACGUGGCAACUUCACGGACUUUUCUGCCAGUGAUGAGUACCGCUUCGGUCUUGCUCUCCGCUAGGUUCAGUCCGUUAGUUUCGAGCCAAUCGCUUAUUAACACUAUUGUUCUGUUGGUUAUCGAAACUAUAUCGUGUAUAUGUUUUGCUAUGACCACAACAGCGAUAUCGUCUGCGAACCCAAUAAUAUGAACGUUUUUCGGUACUUUCAGCCGCAGUACUCCAUCGUACAUGACGUUCCAUAGUAGUGGCCCAAGAACAGAUCCUUGGGGUACUCCACCAGAGACUUUAUAUUUUUUAGAACCUUCGCUAGUGUUGUAGCUCAAAAUUCUAUCCUCGAAAUAGCUUAGUAUUAUGUUGUAAAGGUAUUGAGGCACGGAGAAGCGUUUUAGUGCACUCAAAAUACUGUGCCAGGAUGCCGAGUUAAAGGCAUUCUUUACAUCCAGGGUUACAACCAUACAGUACUGUAUUGUGCCUCCUUUCCAUCUUUUGCCGCUGAUAGCCCGUUCGGCCAUGGUCUUUACUAAAUUUACAGCUGCAAUUGUGGAUCUUGCCUUUCUGAAUCCGAAUUGGUUGGGUGAUAACCCACCGGCAUCGUCGAUUGCCUUAUUUAGCCGUUGGUAUAUGAUCCGCUCCAGAAUCUUUCCAGCGGAGUCUAACAUGCAAAGAAGCCGAAAGUGGGACGGUUCGGUCAUUGGUUUGUUAGGUUUCGGCAAUAGUAUCAGGUUUUGCCUUUUCCAUAUGGUGGGAAAGCAGCCUUCCUGGAUGCAUGUAUUAUACAUGGUUCGAAAGGGGUCUAUGUUUGUAGUGAUCGCUGUUUUUAGCACUACAUUCGGAAUUCCAUCUGGUCCUGGGGCUUUAGAUGGGUUUAACCGUUUGCAUGCUUCUUGGACUUCUUCAUUCGAAACAGCUGGGAUAGCCUGGGUUUGUGGUACUCUCACGAUCUCCUGAUGGAGUGGGGGUUGGAUAGGGAAGAGGACCGAAACAAUUCUCUCAAUUAUUGAGGGGGAGGUAGGCAUUUGCCCGCCAGUGCGUAGUUUUCCCAUUACCGUUUUGUAAGCGAGUCCCCAAGCGUUGUUUUCGACAUCGUCGCACAGUUUGAGGAAGCAUUCCUGUUUGCUUUUUUUAAUUGAUUGUUUAAGUAGUUUUCUUUUCUCCUUAAAAUGUUUUUGGAGAGUGGUGUACUCAGGUGUACCACGUGACCUUUGGUAUAAUCGCCUUGCUUGCCGGCAUUCUUUGCGUAACCUGGCGAUCGUCUCAUUCCACCAAUACACUGGGGAAUGGUGUUUGCGUCGAGAUAACUUAGACAUUGUAGCGUCACAUGCACUCUUCAUACCGCUCAUAAUCGUGUAAGCAGCUCUGUUAGCCGACAACAAAUUGUCGGGAAGAGUAGUUGGCCUGAAGACUUCUACAAAAAGGUCUGGGUCGAACGUUGCGGGUCGCCAGUUACUUCUUUUAAGGGUCGGUAAACGCUGUCGUUCGUGUGUGGUAUUUAUUUCGAAUAUGAUUGCAUAGUGAUCGCUAAAAGUGUAAUGAUCACUAAUUUCCCAAUGAGAUUUGCGAACUAAGCUCGAGUGUACGAACGUUAGGUCUAUCACAGAUUGUCGGCCACCUUUGUUGAAUGUGCAUUGGUUGCCAGCAUUUAAAAGCUCCAGAUCAAGAGAAGCAAAAGCUUCUAGUAAGGUUUUUCCUCUGCUGUUGGUUCUUUUGCAUCCCCACUCGAUAGCCCAGGCAUUAAAGUCACCAGCUAUUAUAACUUUCAUUUUGCCUCUGGCAUCGGCCACUAGGUUGUCGAUAAUACGACGAUAUUAAGUAGCAGCUAUAUACAUUAAUAUCAUUAAUUGUUGAUCGAACAAAACCAUCAGAAGAGAAGGGUGCUUCCAGUUGCGCGAAAUUAGGGUUACAUUUCCAUAUAACCGCUUUCCUUCGAGUGUCACUUAUCCAGGUUACGCCCUGUUGGAUUUUAUAUGGUUCGCUUAGUAGAACCACAUCAAUUUGCUUUUCGGCAACUGAAUGUUUUAAUAAGUCGUGAGCCGCUUGACAGUGGUUUGAGUUCAAUUGUAGAAACCUCAUAUUACCUGCUGGGCUGCCUUCUUGUAUACUGGGCACCUGACGCUUCCAGUAAAGUGAUCGAUUUCCUUUCUACCGGCAUUCAAGCAGAGCAAACAUUUUGGCUUGUUGUUGCAGUCCUUUGCCUGGUGCUCUCCUUCGCCACAUCUUCGACAGAGUCUGGAUCUGUCCUCAUUUUUGCAGGUUUUUGCAGUGUGUCCAUAAUCGAGACAUUUAAAGCACCGCUGUGGUUGUUUGUAUUCUCGAAUACGGCAAUUUACCCAUCCAACUUUCAGCUUCCUAGUCAGUAGAAGCUGUCUAGCUGCCUCAACCGGGAGUUUAAUGAGAGCUGUUUGGGUGUCUCCACAGGACUUUCUCAAGUUCUUUAUUGUUGAGAUCGUCAGUUCAGUGUUACCUAAUUCUUUCUGUAGUGCGUAAAGGACUUCUUCCUUGCUUGUAACUUCAUCAAGGUCUUUGCACUCCAGUAGAGUCUCCUGGGUCAGAAGUUUAACGUGGGCUUGAUCCCCUAGACACUUCUUCAUGUUCUCCUGGGAGUCGGUUGGGAUCGCAGUCCCGCUUAGCUGUAGCAACAUUUCACCGUUUUGCGUUUUACGUAUCUUAGUGACGUUAUUUCCGAAUCCGCUAAGUGUUGAAUCGGACUUGAUUUUUCUUAGGAUCUCCGCAUAGGAAAGGUCCCCAUUUUUUGAAAUUAAUAUCGCUUGUGGUUUUGUUUUUGGUAAUUUUGCUGGUUUCUGGUUGGCUUUCUUAGCUACUACAUUCCAUUGUUCCUCCAUUGGAUUAUUUGUUGUUGCCUUAUUAUCAGGCCCUUUCGCUAGCUGCGUGCUUAAUAUUUUUGUUGUUGGCGACUUUGCCGUGGUUUCUAACAUUUGAAAACUUAUUACUGAUCGUUUGAACUGACCAAUUAAACUUGUUCUUGCUCGUGUUUUCGGCGAAUUGAUGCAUGACCGUUUGCUUUGUUGUAGAGUCUGCUCCUCCACCAUUGGUUCUUCAGUGAGCGUACUGCGACCUCUCUUCGCCUGGGCGGUUGGGUGGAUAGCCGACUCUCUAACCUCUGCUACUGCUUGUUUUUGCAGUUGCGAGAUCUUGUCGAUUAUGUUACGCAUGUGUUGGUUAACAUGCCUUUGUUUUUGGCCAUGGGUGAGCGCAAUUAGCUCUUCUAUUAGUGUGCCCAGAUCAAUAAGUGCGCUCUCUCCUUCGCUCACACUUAUUGCGUUUUCGCUGCUAGUGGUGCCUUGUGUUGGCAAAUCGGCUGCGCUAGCCUUUUUAGUUGGCAUUGUGACGUUAUUUAAUUCAGUCACAUCGUGCGAGACCGUGUUUGUUGGGGUCACUUCUUGUGUCGUUGGUGUAGCAACUUUUAGCGUCUGAGCGCAUUGUCGAUCAGGUGAUCGGGGGGUCUUAUUGCUCCUUGUGAACGAACUAUGAUCCUCCUUAUUACCAGUAAUGGUAAAUGCUGCUUUAGGUUUAGCUGACAUUUCCUCAGCUAUUCCUAUAGCAGUCCACUAUUGCAGCUGUUGCUCGUAAAUUCCUCAAGUUGUAAUCCCCAGGAAUUUCUCUUUGUGUGGAUUGUGGGUUGUGGGAUCCAAGUAGGUGUGUAAAGGGAAAGCUAAGAAAAUGCGCUCUUCGCUAUUUCCCUUUUGUGCGUACCUUCUCCCAAAUUAAUAGAUAUUUAUUAAGUGUUUUAACACUCACCGCUUUUAUAACUUUUUUACUCUCGUUUUCUGCUUUCGUUGAGUUGAUGUGGACACCGUGUGUAUUUCGACGCGCUUAGGAACUAAUUUUGAAUUAUUUCCUACCGAAUUUGGGGCCAUAAACGGAGCACCAGAAAAAAACACGUCUCUUCACUAACUCACUUCACUUGUGUAUCUACAGAGAAGAGGUAAUAAUAGAAAAGUGUGGGUGUCCAUGCCAAGUGAUAUUUUAGCUCUGUACAAAGAUGAUGUUGGAAAAUGAUGUUUAAUGAUUAUUUAUUACAAGAAAUGACUCAAGUCACAAGUCGAUCUAUUACAGAUGGAAAAUUAUUGGAAAUCUUAGAGAAAUUAUGUAAUAAAUCCAAGGUAAACGAAGAAAAACAUAACAUUUUGAACAAAUUAAAUAAAAAAUUUGUUUUAAUGAAGUUUGAUAACAAGACCACUAAUGCUAAACAAUGGUUGCAAAGUUUUGAAAAUGAAUGUGCAAGAUUUGAUUUAAAUAGUGAUACAGAGAGAAUUAGCGCUUUGAGAUUAUUCUUGAAUGACUCAGAAAAUGAUUGGUAUGAGUCCAUGUUAAUUAAACAUGUUUUAAACACCCUAUGGAAAAUAUGGCAAGUGAGUUUUCUUAAAACAUUCGCUGAUAAGAGUUGGUCUUCUGUAAUGUAUGCACUGAAUUUCAAACCAGAAAUGGAAAAUAAAAAGAGAACACCUUGGCAAAUAUGUUAUAAGAUGGGAAAGAAAAAUAGAUUUCACCCUAGGGACUUGUGCUGGUACAAGGAAGACAAAAAUUACAGAGUAAAACACUGCAAAAACUUGAUGUUGGAGAUUGAUCAAUUUCAGGAUACCAUAUACUAAAUAUUCCCCUACUAAUAGAAGUUGAGGUUAUACUGAAUAAUACACUAAAACGCACAGGUAUGACCCUGGUUCAAAUAUAACCUUAAUAAAUUCGAAGUUAAUAAAAGUAACAAAUUGUAAGGAAAAUUAUUUUGAAAAUAAAUUCAAUACGAUUGGUGGUGGGGGAAAAACAACUGGCUUAAUAAAAUUAAAUGGAGAAAUACGGAAUAUUAAAAAGGAAAUAAAUACAUUCAUUUAUAAUGAUAAAAACUUUACACAUAAUUUGCUUUUGGGACUGGAUACAAAAAAACGGCUUGGGUUAACCCAUGAUGGGAAUUUAAAUAUCCAACUUAAAGAAAUUGCCAUCCCAAGUGUACAUGAAUAUAUCAGCCCCCGUGAAGAUAAAUAUAAAAGUAAUGAAGAUUCUGAAACUAAAGAGUUAAAGUCAGAAAUAUUACAAUAUAAAAUAAAUUUCAAUGAGGGCAUAGAUGUGAAGAAAUUUGAUAUACUCGUAGAAACUAGUUAUUUAGAUGAUGACCAAAGAAGUGCAUUACUAAAUGAUUAUAAACACAUAUGUAAGUAUGUGCCAAAGAUAAGUCUGAUGUAGGCCAAGUUAAAAACUAUGCAGCUUUUAAAUUAUUAAAUAUUGCUCAAAGAGACCAUAUAGUAGAUGCUCUUUAGAUGAUAGACAAAAAAUCGAUAAGCAAAUUGGACAAUUGCUAAAGAAUGAACUAAUCGAAGAAUCCUAUAGCCCAUUUGCAGCACCAGUAACAUUGGCUUUCAAACAUGAUACGUAGAGGGAGAAAGUCAAGACUGUGUAUUGAUUUCAGAGACCUUAAUAAGAUUAUUACCCCACAGGCACAGCCUUUUCCUCUAAUAGAAGAUCUAUUAGUAAAAACGAUAAACUGCAAGUAUUUUACUACGCUUGAUAUUAGUUCUGCUUUUUGGUCCAUACCACUAAGGAUCAGUGACAGAGAAAAGACAGGCUUUGUUACACAGGAAGGUCAUUAUCAAUGGACUUGCCUUCCCUUUUGGGCUGAAAACAUCUCUUGCUAUAUUUCAAAGAAUCCUCACGAAUGUGAUAAGAAAACACAACCUAUCAAAUUUAGUAAUGAAUUAUAUAUGUAGACGAUAUUAUGAUAUUUUCAGAAACUUUUAACCAGCAUUUGGACCAUUUGUCAAGACUGCUAGAUGCAAUUGCUGAAGAAGGAUUCCGUCUGAAGUUAAUGAAAUGUAAAUUUGCAGGACAAUCUGUAAGUAAAACACAUAGUAAAAGGUAAUACAAUCACACCUCUAAAAGAUAACCUCAGAUCUAUAGCGGAAUUUGCAGCACCACAAAACGAGAAACAAAUAAGACAAUUUCUAGGUAAAGUAAAUUUUUAUAACAAGUAUAUUCCUAAUGCAUCAAUAACUCUUGACCCAAUACACAAUUUACUUAGAAAAAACGUCAAUUUCAUUUGGUCAGAUGAUUGUGAAGAGGCUUUCCAAACAAUAAAGAAAUAUUUAUGCUCUGCCCCAAUUCUAGCUAUUUUUGAUAGAGAUGCACCAACAUUUAUAUACACGGAUGCAAGUAUAAAAGGAGUAGGUGCAAUACUUAAACAAACACAGAAAUAUGGAGAAAUCAAACCAGUGGCAUAUUUUUCAAAGAAGCUAAAUGAAACACAAAAAAAGAAGAAAGCUUUAUUUUUAGAAUGCUUAGCCAUAAAAGAAAGUCUAAAAUUUUGGCAACACUUUCUGAUAGGAAACUCAUUUACAAUUUAUACGGACCAUAAGCCGCUAGAAAAUUUAAAUAUUAAGAGCAGAACACAUGAUGAACUGGGAGACAUGACUCAUUACCUAUCACAAUACAACUUUGUAAUAAAAUACAACCCAGGUAGAAACAAUACUGAAGCGGAUUGCUUGAGCAGAACCCCUGUAUAUGAAAGUCACGAAAAUGAAGAAGACAACUUAAACACAGUUAUUAUUAUAAAGAUUGAGGAAAUAUUAUAAGACCAAAAUAAAACCCCAAAGUAAACGACAAGUACAGUUUCAUUAAAGAGAAUGGUACUACAAAUAGAGAAACAAGAAGAAAGAAAUUAUUUUGUCCGAAGACUACAGUAAGGUAUUAAUAAGAAAGGUGCAUGAACAUUUGUGUCAUGUGGGAAUAAAUCAGAUUGAGUCGAAAAUAAGACCUCUCUAUACAGCACCAAACCUAUUAAAUAAUAUAAAGUUGGUUUGCCGUCAAUAUGAAGUUUGUAUAAAAAACAAAUCAAGAUUAAAUAAAAAUUAUGGACUCAUGUCACAACUACGACCGGCAUAAAAACCUUUUCAAAUCAUGUCCAUAGACACAAUAGGAGGGUUUGGUGGCAACAGGUCUUCAAAAAGGUAUCUACACUUGUUAGUAGAUCUUUUUACUCGUUAUGCUUACAUUUCAUGCUCGAGGUCACAACUGGCUAAGGACUACAUAAAACUAGAAGAUCAAGUAAUCAAGGACAAUGAAAUUGAGUAUUGCUCUCUGAUCAAUAUCCAGCACUGAAUUCACAAGAGUUAAAAAAAUAUUUAAAAAACCAUUCUGUUGGUUUAAUUUUUACUGCGGUGGAUUCUCCAUUUUCAAAUGGUUAUAAUGAGAGGUUAAAUCAGACGCUGGUAAAUAGGAUUAGAUGUGUCUUAAACAGCAAAGGAAAAAUAACAGCUUGGACGACCGUAGCAAUGGAUUGUGUGAAAGCCUAUAACUCAACAAACCACACUGUGACAGGAUAUUCCCUCUGUACCUGUUAAAUGGAGAACCAACUGAUGUAUUACCAGUGGACCUAAAAAUAAAACAAUUGGAACCCGGAGAACUGGAAAAAGACAGACAUACAGCAUUUCUCAGAUCAAACAAAUCACAUGAAUUAAACAAGGCCAGAUUUGACAGAAAUAGAAUAGAUUACAAUUUCCAAAAAGGCGAUAUGGUAUACAUAAUGGACUGUAAUAAGUUAAAUAGAUCUAAAAUGGAUGAAAUAAGAAUAGGUCCUUUUAAGAUUGAAGAAAUGAUAUCAGAUUCACUCUGCAAAAUUAACACUGGAAAGAAUAAAAAGUCCUUGGGAUUGUACCAUGUGACAAAGCUCAUUCCUCAGUAGGAUAACUGAACUUAACUCCAGUAAAUUUUCAAUUUUGAAAACUAUCGACAUUCUAAACAUAUUGUAAUAUUAACUUGCUAGAAUAGGAGAGACGAAUGCCCAAUUUUUCAAGAAGAAGAAAACGAAAAGCGCAGUUUAUUUUGGUUUUUAAAGAGAGUAAACGAAAAAGAUUAACAACGAGAAAAAGAAAUCAUUUGGAACGUUUGGAUGCGUAUAACAAAGACGCACCAUCCAAUUAGCCGCAUCACCGGUGACUUGGAGGACGAGCAUUACGCGGAGCUCGCUAUUAGUUUAAGUAAAUAUUUGAUUAUUUUGAUGUUAUUAUUAAAUAAAGCGAAAUAAUAAAAAAACUGAAUUUUAUUUAAAAGAAUUGAAUUUGCUAGAAGUAACAAAUGGGUAACAGAUAAUCUUGUUACUGCUUGUUCUUGCUAACAUGCUUAUAUGUUAUAGGUAACAAACUGAUAACGAAAAUAAUAACACUAACAGAUAUUCGGGUAACAAAUACUUUUUGUUAUCCAUAACACAUAGGUAAGCAAUGCGCUAACAAAAGAAUUUGUUACCCGUAACAUACUGUGAAGAGAUUUGCUAACAAAUGCAUGUAUUCUGU